CCGGAAGGCAGCAGCCACGGCAAUUUCUUCCAGGGG
rnacentral:SRP_RNA from 10 species